rnacentral:rRNA from 1 species
UACGGAGGGUGCAAGCGUUGUCCGGAUUUAUUGGGUUUAAAGGGUGCGUAGGCGGUGCUUUAAGUCUGGGGUGAAAGCCCGUUGCUCAACAACGGAACUGCCCUGGAAACUGGAGCACUUGAGUACAGACGAGGGUGGCGGAAUGGAUACUGUAGCGGUGAAAUGCAUAGAUAGUAUCCAGAACCCCCGAUUGCGAAGGCAGCUGCCUAGACUGUAACUGACGCUGAGGCACGAAAAGCGUGGGGAGCGAACAGG